rnacentral:rRNA from 1 species
UACGUAGGUGACCAGCGUUGUCCGGAUUUACUGGGCGUAAAGAGCGCGCAGGCGGUCGUUCAAGUCGAGUGUGAAAGCCCCCGGCUCAACUGGGGAGGGUCACUCGAUACUGAUCGACUUGAAGGCAGGAGAGGGAAGCGGAAUUCCCGGUGUAGUGGUGAAAUGCGUAGAUAUCGGGAGGAACACCAGCGGCGAAGGCGGCUUCCUGGCCUGUUCUUGACGCUGAGGCGCGAAAGCUAGGGGAGCAAACGGG